rnacentral:rRNA from 1 species
AUUGAACGCUGGCGGCAGGCCUAACACAUGCAAGUCGAACGGUAACAGGAAGAAGCUUGCUUCAUUGCUGACGAGUGGCGGACGGGUGAGUAAUGUCUGGGAAACUGCCUGAUGGAGGGGGAUAACUACUGGAAACGGUAGCUAAUACCGCAUAACGUCGCAAGACCAAAGAGGGGGACCUUCGGGCCUCUUGCCAUCGGAUGUGCCCAGAUGGGAUUAGCUAGUAGGUGGGGUAACGGCUCACCUAGGCGACGAUCCCUAGCUGGUCUGAGAGGAUGACCAGCCACACUGGAACUGAGACACGGUCCAGACUCCUACGGGAGGCAGCAGUGGGGAAUAUUGCACAAUGGGCGCAAGCCUGAUGCAGCCAUGCCGCGUGUAUGAAGAAGGCCUUCGGGUUGUAAAGUACUUUCAGCGGGGAGGAAGGGAGUAAAGUUAAUACCUUUGCUCAUUGACGUUACCCGCAGAAGAAGCACCGGCUAACUCCGUG